GCUCCAUGGAUCACUGCAGGCCCCACAGCUCUCAGCAGCCCCACGGAUCUCAGCAGCCCCACAGAUCACAGCAGGCCCCACAGAUCUCAGCAGGCCGCACAGAUCUCAGUAGGCCCCACAGAUCACAGCAGGCCCCAUGGAUCACAGCAGCCCCACAGAUCACUGUAGGCUCCAUGGAUCACUGCAGGCCCCACAGAUCACAGCAGGCCCCACAGAUCACUGCAGCCCCAUAGAUCGCAGCAGGCCCCAUAGAUCUCAGCAGGCCCCACAGAUCACAGCAGGCCCCACAGAUCACGGCAGGCCCCACAGAUCUCAGCAGGCCCCAUAGGUCAUAGCAGGCCCCAUAGAUCACUGCAGGCCGCACAGACCUCAGCAGCCCCACAGAUCACUGUAGACCCCAUGGAUCACUGCAGGCCCCACAGAUCACUGCAGGCCCCACAGAUCUCAGCAGCCCCAUGGAUCUCAGCAGCCCCACAGAUCACUGCAGGCCGCACAGACCUCAGCAGCCCCACAGAUCACUGCAGGCCCCACAGAUCACUGUAGACCCCAUGGAUCACUGCAGGCCCCACAGAUCGCAGCAGCCCCAUAGAUCUCAGCAGCCCCAUAGUUCACUGCAGGCCCCACAGAUCUCAGUAGGCCCCAUGGCUCACUGCAGCCCCACAGAUCUCAGCAGACCCACAGAUCUCAGCAGGCCCCAUAGAUUGCUGCAGGCCCCACAGAUCACUGUAGACCCCAUGGAUCACUGCAGGCCCCACAGAUCACAGCAGGCUCCAUGGAUCUCAGCAUCCCCACAGAUCACUGCAGGCCCCACAGAUCACUGUAAACCCCAUGGAUCAUGGAGGCCCCACAGAUCACAGCAGCCCCAUAGAUCUCAGCAGGCCCCACAGAUCAUUGUAGACCCCAUGGAUCACAGCAGCCCCAUAGAUCUCAGCAGCCCCAUAGUUCACUGCAGGCCCCGGAGAUCUCAGUAGGCCCCAUGGAUCACUGCAGGCCCCAUAGAUCAUUGUAGACCCCAUGGAUCACUGCAGGCCGCACAGAUCACAGCAGCCCCAUAGGACAUAGCAGGCCCCACAGAUCACAGCAGCCCCACAGAUCACUGUAGACCCCAUGGAUCACUGCAGGCCCCACAGAUCACUGCAGGCCCCGCAGAUCUCAGCAGCCCCAUGGAUCUCAGCAGCCCCACAGAUCACUGCAGGCCGCACAGACCUCAGCAGCCCCACAGAUCACUGCAGGCCCCACAGAUCACUGUAGACCCCAUGGAUCACUGCAGGCCCCAUAGAUCUCAGCAGCCCCAUAGAUCACUGCAGGCCCCAUAGAUCUCAGCAGCCCCGUAGAUCGCUGCAGGCCCCACAGAUCACUGUAGACCCCAUGGAUCACGGAGGCCCCACAGAUCACAGCAGCCCCAUAGAUCUCAGCAGCCCCAUGGAUCACAGCAGCCCCAUGGAUCACUGCAGGCCCCAUAGAUCUCAGCAGCCCCACAGAUCUCAGCAGCCCCAUGGAUCACUGCAGGCCCCACAGAUCUCGGCAGGCCGCACAGACCUCAGUAGGCCCCACGGCUCACUGCAGCCCCACGGAUCUCAGCAGCCCCACGGGUCCCGCCCAGCCCCACGGCAGCCGCUCACCCCACGCGCUCCGCCCGG
ensembl:lncRNA